rnacentral:rRNA from 1 species
UACGAAGGGGGCUAGCGUUGCUCGGAAUUAUUGGGCGUAAAGCGCACGUAGGCGGCUUAGCAAGUCGGAUGUGAAAGCCCUCGGCUCAACCAAGGAAGUGCAUCCGAAACUGCUGAGCUUGAGUACUUAAGAGGGUCGCGGAAUUCCCGGUGUAGAGGUGAAAUUCGUAGAUAUCGGGAGGAACACCCGUGGCGAAGGCGGCUCUCUGGGACGGUACUGACGCUGAGACGCGAAAGCGUGGGGAGCGAACGAGG